rnacentral:misc_RNA from 1 species
GAAAUGCGAUACGUAGUGUGAAUUGCAGAAUUCCGUGAACCAUCGAAUCUUUGAACGCAAAUUGCGCUUGAGGCCUCGGCCAAGAGCAUGUCUGGCUCAGCGUCGGCUUACUACCCUCAAUCAACUCCCUUGUGGAAUUGAUUGGAGCUGGCUUUCCGGUUUUCCGAUUAGGUUGCCGGUCAGCUGAAAAACAUUCGCGCUGUGGGAGCUGCUUUCCCUUCAAAAAGGAAAGCCGAGUUCCGAUUUGGUAGGUGACCUUUGCCGGUUACAUGCCUUCGUUGCUCGCAAAUGGCUUCCAUGAAAGCGUGUGCAGGACGCCUUUUGGCUUUCGACCUGAGCUCAGGCAAGAACACCCGCUGAACUUAA